UACGUAGGGUGCAGGCGUUAAUCGGAAUUACUGGGCGUAAAGCGUGCGCAGGCGGUUUGCUAAGACAGGUGUGAAAGCCCCGGGCUCAACCUGGGAACUGCAUUGGAAACUAACGGGCUCGAGUGUGGCAGAGGGGGGUGGAAUUCCACGUGUAGCAGUGAAAUGCGUAGAGAUGUGGAGGAACACCGAUGGCGAAGGCAGCCCCCUGGGCUAACACUGACGCUCAGGCACGAAAGCGUGGGGAGCAAACAGG
rnacentral:rRNA from 1 species